CCAAUAGCGUAUAUUAAAGUUGUUGCAGUUAAAAAGCUCGUAGUUGAAUUUCGGGAUCAAUAUGUCGGUCGUGCCUUCGGUACGUACUGGUAUCAUUGGUCUCUCCUUUCUGACGAACCAUGAUGUCAUUAAUUUGGUGUUAUGGGGAGUUAGGACUGUUACUUUGAAAAAAUUAGAGUGUUUAAAGCAGGCUUUAGCUUGAAUACAUUAGCAUGGAAUAAUGAAAUAGGACGUUCGAACCUAUUUUGUUGGUUUCUAGGAUCAACGUAAUGAUUAAUAGGGAUAGUUGGGGGCAUUAGUAUUCAAUUGUCAGAGGUGAAAUUCUUGGAUUUAUUGAAGACUAACUACUGCGAAAGCAUUUGCCAAGGAUGUUUUCAUUAAUCAAGAACGAAAGUUAGGGGAUCGAAGACGAUCAGAUACCGUCGUAGUCUUAACCAUAAACUAUGCCGACUAGGGAUCGGAUGAUGUUAAUUUUUUAAUGACUCAUUCGGCGCCUUACA
rnacentral:rRNA from 1 species